rnacentral:rRNA from 1 species
GUGGGGAAUAUUGGACAAUGGGCGAAAGCCUGAUCCAGCCAUGCCGCGUGUGUGAAGAAGGUCUUCGGAUUGUAAAGCACUUUAAGUUGGGAGGAAGGGUAGUAACCUAAUACGUUGCUACUUUGACGUUAACGACAGAAUAAGCACCGGCUAACUUCGUGCCAGCAGCCGCGGUAAUACGAAGGGUGCAAGCGUUAAUCGGAAUUACUGGGCGUAAAGCGCGCGUAGGUGGUUCAGUAAGUUGGAAGUGAAAUCCCCGGGCUCAACCUGGGAACUGCUUUCAAAACUGCUGAGCUAGAGUACGGUAGAGGGUGGUGGAAUUUCCUGUGUAGCGGUGAAAUGCGUAGAUAUAGGAAGGAACACCAGUGGCGAAGGCGACCACCUGGACUGAUACUGACACUGAGGUGCGAAAGCGUGGGGAGCAAACAGGAUUAGAUACCCGAGUAGUCC